rnacentral:rRNA from 1 species
UGGGGAAUUUUGGGCAAUGGGGGAAACCCUGACCCAGCAACGCCGCGUGAAGGAUGAAGUAUUUCGGUAUGUAAACUUCGAAAGAAUAGGAAGAAUAGAUGACGGUACUAUUUAUAAGGUCCGGCUAACUACGUGCCAGCAGCCGCGGUAAUACGUAGGGACCAAGCGUUGUUCGGAUUUACUGGGCGUAAAGGGCGCGUAGGCGGCAUGACAAGUCACUUGUGAAAUCUCUGGGCUUAACCCAGAACGGCCAAGUGAUACUGUCGCGCUAGAGUGCAGAAGGGGCAAUCGGAAUUCUUGGUGUAGCGGUGAAAUGCGUAGAUAUCAAGAGGAACACCUGAGGUGAAGACGGGUUGCUGGGCUGACACUGACGCUGAGGCGCGAAAGCCAGGGGAGCAAACGGGAUUAGAUACCCCCGUAGUCCCUGAGCGGGCUGGCAAGGCGCAU